rnacentral:rRNA from 1 species
AGUGAACGCUGGCGGUAGGCCUAACACAUGCAAGUCGAACGGCAGCACAGUAAGAGCUUGCUCUUACGGGUGGCGAGUGGCGGACGGGUGAGGAAUACAUCGGAAUCUACUUUUUCGUGGGGGAUAACGUAGGGAAACUUACGCUAAUACCGCAUACGACCUACGGGUGAAAGCAGGGGAUCUUCGGACCUUGCGCGAUUGAAUGAGCCGAUGUCGGAUUAGAUAGUUGGCGGGGUAAAGGCCCACCAAGGCGACGAUCCGUAGCUGGUCUGAGAGGAUGGUCAGCCACACUGGAACUGAGACACGGUCCAGACUCCUACGAGAGGCAGCAGUGGGGAAUAUUGGACAAUGGGCGCAAGCCUGAUCCAGCCAUACCGCGUGGGUGAAGAAGGCCUUCGGGUUGUAAAGCCCUUUUGUUGGGAAAGAAAAGCAGCAGGUUAAUACCCCGCUGUUCUGACGGUACCCAAAGAAUAAGCACCGGCUAACUUCGUG